GACGAACGCUGGCGGCGUGCUUAACACAUGCAAGUCGAACGGAAAGGCCCUGCUUUUGUGGGGUGCUCGAGUGGCGAACGGGUGAGUAACACGUGAGUAACCUGCCCUUGACUUUGGGAUAACUUCAGGAAACUGGGGCUAAUACCGGAUAGGAGCUCCUGCUGCUUGGUGGGGGUUGGAAAGUUUCGGCGGUUGGGGAUGGACUCGCGGCUUAUCAGCUUGUUGGUGGGGUAGUGGCUUACCAAGGCUUUGACGGGUAGCCGGCCUGAGAGGGUGACCGGCCACAUUGGGACUGAGAUACGGCCCAGACUCCUACGGGAGGCAGCAGUGGGGAAUAUUGCACGAUGGGCGGAAGCCUGAUGCAGCAACGCCGCGUGCGGGAUGACGGCCUUCGGGUUGUAAACCGCUUUCGCCUGUGACGAAGCGUGAGUGACGGUAAUGGGUAAAGAAGCACCGGCUAACUACGUG
rnacentral:rRNA from 1 species